rnacentral:pre_miRNA from 1 species
CUAGUACUCCCUCCGUUCCAAAUUACUUGUCGCGGGUAUGGAUGUAUCUAGAUGUAUUUUAGUUCUAGAUACAUCCAUUUCUGCGACGAGUAAUUUGGAACGGAGGGAGUAUAUA